rnacentral:rRNA from 1 species
AUUGAACGCUGGCGGCAGGCCUAACACAUGCAAGUCGAACGAGUGGCGGACGGGUGAGUAAUGUCUGGGAAACUGCCUGAUGGAGGGGGCUAACUACUGGAAACGGUAGCCAAUACCGCAUACCAUCAGAUGUGCCCAGAUGGGAUUAGCUUGUUGGUGGGGUAACGGCUCACCAAGGCGACGAUCCAUAGCUGGUCUGAGAGGAUGACCAGCCAUACUCGAACUGAGCCACGGUCCAGAGUCCUACGGAAGGAAACAGUGGAGAAUAUUGCACAAUGGGAGGAAGUCUUAUGCAGCCAUGUGGAGUGUAUUAAGAAGGCCUUUGGGUUUAAAAGUGCUGUCAGCCGGGAGGCGUUAUCCGCAGAAGAAGCACCGGCUAACUCCGUGCCAGCAGCCGCGGUAAUAA